rnacentral:lncRNA from 1 species
GAACUGAAUUACUAGCCACAGCCCAGCAUGAUUUCAGCAGCAUGGGAGUGAUGCCUUAAAGAACUCUCCCUCGUGGGCUGGAAACACACAGAAAACUCUUGGCCCUCUCCUAGCAAGAUAACAGCCUUUAACUCUGAAGGAAACAUUCCAUGUGCAUCAGCUUUGCCAACGAAAGUGAGCCAAGCAAAGGUGUCUCCAGCCCGUGGAAGAGCCUUGAGGACACCGUGCCAGCUGCAGCAGGUGAUCCACUCUCAGGCAUCCAAUCAUUACUACAGUCUUGUGCUCCCCUACAGAUGCCAAGCUGUGUGCGUCUUGUUGGGAGAUGUUUAUAGCUCAAGUUCCAGAGACAACUUGGAGGGCUCUCAGGCUGUAAUCUACUUAAGACAAAAAUCUAUGACAUCUCCUUGGAC